rnacentral:rRNA from 1 species
UAGCUAGUAGGUGGGGUAACGGCUCACCUAGGCGACGAUCCCUAGCUGGUCUGAGAGGAUGACCAGCCACACUGGAACUGAGACACGGUCCAGACUCCUACGGGAGGCAGCAGUGGGGAAUAUUGCACAAUGGGCGCAAGCCUGAUGCAGCCAUGCCGCGUGUAUGAAGAAGGCCUUCGGGUUGUAAAGUACUUUCAGCGGGGAGGAAGGCGAUGUGGUUAAUAACCGCGUCGAAGACGUACCCGCAGAAGAAGC